rnacentral:rRNA from 1 species
CCUACGGGGGGCAGCAGUGGGGAAUAUUGGGCAAUGGAGGAAACUCUGACCCAGCAACGCCGCGUGAAGGAUGAAGGUUUUCGGAUUGUAAACUUCUGUCGCGAGGGACGAAGAAUGACGGUACCUCGUAAGAAAGCCCAGGCUAACUACGUGCCAGCAGCCGCGGUAAUACGGAGGGGGCGAGCGUUGUCCGGAAGGACUGGGCGUCAAGGGAGGGUAGGCGGCAAUAUAAGUUAGAUUUGAAAUCCCGCGGCUCAACCGCGGAACUGCAUCUAAAACUAUAUAGCUGGAGUGCAGGAGAGGUGAGUGGAAUUCCUAGUGUAGCGGUGGAAUGCGUAGAUAUUAGGAGGACCACCAGCGGCGAAGGCGCCUCACUGGACUGUAACUGACGCUGCGGCUCGACAGCGUGGGGAGCAAACAGGAUUAGAUACCCUGGUAGUC